AGAGUUUGAUCAUGGCUCAGGACGAACGCUGGCGGCGUGCCUAACACAUGCAAGUCGAACGGAACUUCUUUAAAGGAUUUCUUCGGAAUGAAUUUGAUUAAGUUUAGUGGCGGUCGGGUGAGUAACGCGUGAGUAACCUGCCUCUAAGAGGGGAAUAACAUUCUGAAAAGAAUGCUAAUACCGCAUAACAUAUAUUUAUCGCAUGGUAGAUAUAUCAAAGACUUAUCGCUUAGAGAUGGACUCGCGUCCGAUUAGUUAGUUGGUGAGGUAACGGCUCACCAAGACCGCGAUCGGUAGCCGGACUGAGAGGUUGAACGGCCACAUUGGGACUGAGACACGGCCCAGACUCCUACGGGAGGCAGCAGUGGGGGAUAUUGCGCAAUGGGGGAAACCCUGACGCAGCAACGCCGCGUGAAGGAUGAAGGUCUUCGGAUUGUAAACUUCUUUUAUUAAGGACGAAGAAAGUGACGGUACUUAAUGAAUAAGCUCCGGCUAACUACGUGCCAGCAGCCGCGGUAAUACGUAGGGAGCAAGCGUUGUCCGGAUUUACUGGGUGUAA
rnacentral:rRNA from 1 species